AUGGCUGAUGUUUGGAGGGUGA
rnacentral:miRNA from 1 species